UACAGAGGUCUCAAGCGUUGUUCGGAUUCAUUGGGCGUAAAGGGUGCGUAGGUGGCGCGGUAAGUCGGGUGUGAAAUUUCGGAGCUUAACUCCGAAACUGCAUUUGAUACUGUGGUGCUUGAGGACUGGAGAGGAGACUGGAAUUUACGGUGUAGCAGUGAAAUGCGUAGAGAUCGUAAGGAAGACCAGUGGCGAAGGCGGGUCUCUGGACAGUUCCUGACACUGAGGCACGAAGGCCAGGGGAGCAAACGGG
rnacentral:rRNA from 1 species